GAUGAACGCUGGCGGCGUGCCUAAUACAUGCAAGUCGAGCGAACAGACGAGGAGCUUGCUCCUCUGACGUUAGCGGCGGACGGGUGAGUAACACGUGGAUAACCUACCUAUAAGACUGGGAUAACUUCGGGAAACCGGAGCUAAUACCGGAUAAUAUAUUGAACCGCAUGGUUCAAUAGUGAAAGACGGUUUUGCUGUCACUUAUAGAUGGAUCCGCGCCGCAUUAGCUAGUUGGUAAGGUAACGGCUUACCAAGGCAACGAUGCGUAGCCGACCUGAGAGGGGGAUCGGCCACACUGGAACUGAGACACGGUCCAGACUCCUACGGGAGGCAGCAGUAGGGAAUCUUCCGCAAUGGGCGAAAGCCUGACGGAGCAACGCCGCGGGAGUGAUGAAGGUCUUCGGAUCGUAAAACUCUGUUAUUAGGGAAGAACAAAUGUGUAAGUAACUAUGCACGUCUGGACGGUACCUAAUCAGAAAGCCACGGCUAACUACGU
rnacentral:rRNA from 1 species